UACAGAUAUCAUAAGCAUACAAAAUCCAUGCACAGUGCCAGCUACCACAAGGGUCUCCCACUCUCAACCCAAGAGUUGCUAUCCUUUCCUUGCAAUCUAUCAUUGCCCCACACUUGGUUAACCAAUCCAUAUCCAAGAUCAUAUUGAAGUUAGUUAUAACCAACUUUAUCAAAACAACUGGUGAGUCCUUUCCACCAUAACCUAACUCAUCACAACAUAACCAUGUAAUUUGCAUAACAAAUGUAUGCCUCUCUAUAUGCAAUAAGCAAAGAAAUAGCAUGGUACCAAAACCAGUCGACAUAAUACAAGAAUCAAAACUAGAAAGCUGACCUACCACCCCUGAGGAACCAACCUCAUUCUCAGUCUCUAACUUUGAUUGCAUCGGAAUGAACACUCGAAUUGGAGUCGAGUUGUCCACCCCCUUUUUCUUAUCCUUCCUUCGCCUUGGGCAAUCCUUCUUGAAAUUCCCAACCAUUUCACAUAAGAAACAUUCCUUUGCUCGACAUUCUCCCAGACGACACCUCUUACACCGAGUGCAUUCUGGGCAGGGUUUCCAAUCCUUGUUCUUGCUCGCUCCAAUAAAUGGAGGUGUCACUAUCUGAGCUCCAUGCUCUCCGACACUCUCCUUUAUAAUCUCAUUUCCCGUGCUCUCAACAAAAAGAGCCUUCCCUACCACCUGAGUGUAGGUAGAUAUUUCAUGCAUUGGGGCUACUCUAAUGCCCUAAGCAACACUGGGAUUCAAUCCCUGGAUAAACCUUUCCUUUCGAGCUACAUUUGUGGGUACCAUAUCAAAAGCAAACUUGGCCAACCCAUCGAAUCUGUUAACAUACUCGGUUACUGUUGCAUUUCCCUAAACUCAAUUCAGAAACUCAUUCAUCUUAGCAGUCUGGGCUGCAUCACAGUAAUAUUUUUCAUUAAACAACUGCCUAAAUUAUUUCCAGUCCAUCACACUUGUGUCUCGGGUCUGGGAUACUAAUUUCCACCAUCUCCGACAUCAUCCUGCAAUACAUAUGUAGCACAGGUCACCCUAUCGUGACCUACCAGCCCCAUACUGUCAAUAAUGGAACUAAUCAUGCCCAUCCAUUGCUUAAUUUUGAAUGGAUCUAGGCCUCCCUCAAAGACUGGAGGGUAAUACUCCUGGAAUAUUCCACAAAGAAAUUCCCAACUGUUCUCAACCCUAGGCUGAGCCAAAACUGGUGCCACUCCUGGCAUAACAGAUGAAGAGGUGUUCCCCGACAGGUUCAGCUGUUGCUUCAAACACCUGAUCUUUUCCUCUUGCCUUUGUAAUCUUAAUUGCAUAUAUGUUAACACUUGCUGGAAAUUCUGAGGGGCAUGUGAAGAACUCAAACCCUGGUUGUAACUCCUAGCCCCGGUAUAACCACCACCAGGCUUUAUUAUCUACCUUGGAUACAUACAUGCUGAUUGAAUCUGCAGUCAAUAACUUGACCCAUUAAAUAUGAUGAGCAUAUCAAGAGUUUUUCCCACGGAAAAAAUCUUACCACACUACAUCACAAACCACUACAGUGCUAAAAACAUGCUUAUGGCAUUCAUACAUCACUCCUAAUCCCUGCUCUUCAAACAUACAUACUGUUGACGUGGUUUUUCGCCAACAGUGAAUUAGAUGAAUAACUAGGAUGGAUUAGUGCUUAAUGGUAAACCGUAAUAAGAAAGUGAUAAUACUCAAGGAUGCUGGCAAUGAAUUAUCAAGAAAAGAAAAGUGAUCACUCCUUUUUACGUGGUUCGGAGGUUAAAAUCCCCCUAGUCCACGAGUCAAUAUUAUUAUUGUUUCUCUCUUCUUGCUAUUUUUACAGAGUAUUUUCCUUACAAGAAGAAUCCAACAUUUUGCACUACCCAGGGCCUUGAUAUUUGUAGGAGAAUGAUCUCUGAGUAGGCAUUGGGGUCAUCCCGUGAUCUCUUUAUCCUUCACAUCAUCUCUGUGACACUGAUGAUUAAUAUCUAAACCUUACACUGAAGUGUGGUCUAAUCAGUAGGUAAAAAUGGAUAAUGGGCGGCGUGGCCUAAAUCAGGUGUGGGAUGUCUGAUCAUGCACGUUUAUACUACGUAUUCGGGAAUAAAACAGACACGUGAUGUCUGGUAUACGCACGUUUAUAUUGCGUGGUUGACUUUAUAAAGGUUUUGGGAUAUGUCAGGCCUCUGAUGUACCACGAGCUUAAUGUAGUGCUAGCUCGUGCCUUUUUGAUGCCAUGUUGACAAUGGUUCCAGUUGAUAACCAGCCAAACAAUCCGCCAGCUCGAGCUAUUCGUACCAAAUUUCUCCGGAUGAACGGUGAACACAUGGCACCUCGAUUAUGGCUCUUUAUUAGUUCGCUUCUCCCGAGCUACCUCAACAAGGUACGUGCUGAUACUUAGGGCGUGCAUUUGCCCCCAAGCCCCUGCCCAUGAUCUAUGACGUCACUUUUGUCUUUCACGAUGGGAGCUUUUAAACUUCCUUUUUGAUUAUCCAGACCCUGUGUGUUACUUGAGUAUCGGACACAUGGAACGCCGUGAUUAGCGUCUGUUCGGGUUUUGAGGAUCGUAUUAAAUGGCCUGGCCACCUUUUUGCCGCCGUUUCGUCUUUCAAGUUAUGACCCUUGUAUCUCGCAUUAAUUUAAUCGGACAGUUCUCGUUUCCUCAUGCCUCUUACGUAUAAAUAAGGUUGGCAGUUUUCAGUACUUAUCACCCUUCAUUCAAAAUUUUCCUUUAUUUUCUCUCUUUCAAAAUUUAAAAAGCUCUUCUUCUUCUUCUUCUUCUACUUAUAAUCCCAGAAAUCCCCAUAUUCUUGCCACAAGAACCUUUCAGAAGUCCAGCCUUAAGGAAUCUUCCAGGACUCCUACUUCUACGCCGUCAGCAACCUUCGUUUGGAAAAUACAUUGUAAGUUUCCUACUCGUUGUAUGUUUUCAUUUCCCUUCUUUGUUAUGCAAACCUACAUCUCAUAUUCGUAAACAAUAGGAUGUUUCUGACUGUCUUUUGGAGUAUAAGUUCCUAUUCUAGGCAUAUUGAGUAGACCCAAAACAUGUCCAGGAUUGUGAUGUUCACAACUAGGUAAUUUCUGGGUAAAUUUCUGGGUAGUAUUUAUGGGUAAUUUUAUGAAAUACCCAUUCGGGAUAUGGAAGAUGAGAGGUUUUAGGGUGUAAAACUGGGUAGCUUAGGGGUCACGCUUCCUAGGUCGUUUUUCUCUCAAAACCUCUCCCCCAAGGCAAGUAAUAAUCUGACCAUCCUGACUCAAGGAUCCCUGAAUAUCAGGGAUUCGUUGGAAACUUAGGCGCGUGGCCUCACACCGCGGGCUGAGAUUACCUCAGCUCGUGUAUGAAAAACCCUUGUUCUUCUCGCGCUGUUUGUCCUUUCAUAGCUUUUAGGUCGCCUACUAAGUUUUUCAUCGUUCUUGUUUGCUAGGCGAUCAGAUGGGGCCCAAAAGGAAUGUGUCUAAGAAAAGCGCGGUCCGCUCAUCGUCCCAGCACUCUAGCAGAGGGAAGGAGGUCAUGGCAGAGUCUCCCAUCCCCCAGUUUGGUCCCACGAUGGAGAAGGAGAUCGAAGUGGGACUUGAUGCUUUCUUUGAGGAGGAGAGGAUAGCCUCGAAGAUCACGACCCAAGGGAGGGUCGAUAAGAUAAUGCUGUCCCAUAACAUCGAGGUUGGGACUGUCGUCCUUAUUGCUAGGCCUCCCUUGGAGGGUGAGAGGAGCUGCGCACCCCUCGAUGAAGACUUCGCGGCCUAGAGCGAUGAGAAUCUCAUGGCCGGGGCCUUCCUCCCCCUAGAUCAGUACUUUGCAGACUUUCUCAAUUACAUGAACUUGGCACGAUUUCAACUUCCUCUGAAUUCCUAUCAUCUGUUGGCAGGGCUGAGGUAUCUUUUUCUGAAGCACGAGUGGGAGGUCCCUACACUGGCAAACAUCCUCAACUUUUUCUACCUCAAGGUCAACCCGGAUCAAAGGGGAUGAGGCGAUGGGUUCUACUACCUGUCCCACUUCCCGAACUCAUCCGCGGUAAUCGAACUUCCCAGCCAUCCCAACGACUUCAAAGAUCAAUCCUUUAUGUUGAAUGGGUUUCGUAACUGUACCAUUACUUCAACCGUCCUCGUAAGAUUUCUUUCUAUCUUCAGCUCGCAUAAUUUUUAUUACCUUUUUCUUUCUAUAUUUUCGCGUGUAUAUUGACUAGAGCAUCAUCAUGCAACCAUUUUCGCAAGGACGACCAGAUCCGUGACCCUUGGGGGUCAAUAUGAUACCCUGGCGGGGCUCCCGCCCAGUGAAAAAGACUACCGCCAGCUUGUGUCUGAUGACACGAUGUUGGUGUGUAAGUUAAUCUCUACAGGGCAAACUCUGGCCCUGAGGAGGACCCGGGCAAAUAAUUCGGCAGCCUGCAUGUUGGCGCCUAUUCCCGAGGGCGAUGCCGCGGAUGACGGUGGCGACGAGCAGGAAGAGGAGGCCGAGGUGCCGCUCGUGCGGAAGAGAUAAACUCCAGAGACUGCUUAGGACCCGAUUUGGAUCGAGCUCAGUCAGGGGCAGUAGCCGGCCCCUCUGGCCAAGGUAACCCAUACCCCUUUUGAGACCUAGAUAGGGCAGUUGCAGACCCAAACCAGCUCGUGCAUCGCCACCAAAACGACCUAGACCGAGACAUAACCUUGCUCCAAUGCAUAAAUCAAUUAGUGCUGCGUCAUGACAUGGGUCGUCCUAGGGGUACUAUAGUAGUGGACAACACUUUGUCUUUUAGGUCGGUCGUUUUUUAGGAGUAUGGGACCAACCUUAGGUCGUGGCCCUCCCUUCUCGAGGGUAUAGUCGCUCCCGGACUUAAGCAAUACGUGGAGGAAUCCAGUCUCGAGGUAGAGCCUGACCCGAAACCUCCCCUAAUCGAAGAAGUGGUUGAUUUAGACUCUCAUUCCCCUAUACCAGCUCUGAGGCCGGAGGUCAUGGAAAUAGACUCUUCCUCUAGCUCGGAGGGUAGGAUUUUUGCUACUUCGUAUGUAUUUAUUAAUAAUAAUGAUAAUAUAUAUUUUUUUGAAGAACGUAUAUGCAUUCUUAACGCAUUUCCCAUUCUUUCUUCAGGCGAGGAGAUGACACAGAGAGGGAAACCUGACACCCGCUUGAUGUUCCAAGAAGGGAGAUCCAGCGAGGGUCCCCUUGUCAAGAGGCUUUGACCUACUUCAAAGAAAAAGUUUCCCCCAGUUGCGACUGCCUCCCAAUCCCUGACUAAGGGGAAAGGCUCAGGCUCAGGAGCUCCGCCCGUCGUAGCUCCCGGGAAGAAAGGUCCGACUGCCCCUCUUCCUCGCCUUCCUCCACCUCCUGCUCAGGAACCGGUAGCCCCGGUUGAUCCCUAAGCUCCAGUGGUCCCUGUCGCCACUAUUCACAUCCCCGUCAACCCCUAGGCUCUGGAGCUGAUCCCAGACACUUUUUCGGGGGACCGUCUAUGAGACUGCGAACUACUCGGUGGAGCAUUUUUACAAGGCCAAGCCCAACGACCUGAGGGCGAUCGAGGAGAGGAGCCCAGAGAAUGUCAUGGAGUCUGCCUUGGAGAUGAACCUCAUAGCGGUCUUGGCUCAACACUGCAGCAUAUCUCAGGCCAGGGCCAGGAAUGAAGAACUCAAGGCCGAGCUGACUAUGGCCCAAGCUGCUCUCGCCGCCUCUCAACAGAGUGAACAGAGUGCCAAGGCUGCUUUGGCGGCGGCCCAUGCGAGUGAACAGGCGACGAAGGCUGCUUUAACCAUUGCUUGAGAAGGAAAGUAGGCGGUGAAGGUGGCCUCGGCAGCCCUUCAGGCCGAGCUCGAGGGGGCCAAGGAAAAACUGCUGGAGGUCGAGGUAGCCAUCCUGGAGGAGAAGAAGGCAUCACGUCCUCCAUGGAGAGUAUGUUGUACCAUUGCUGGGCCUUCAACCAGGAUGAAAACUUCUCCUUCAUGGCCUCCGACACAUGGGGGCACUACCUCGAGAGGUUCAAAGUUCAGCUGCAACAGGAGCUGCAGGCGCCGACUGAUACUAGGGAGACUUCUGCUGUGGGCGAGCAGGAGACAGAGGAGGUGACGUCCUCAGAAUGGCCUGGGGGAGCCUAGGAUUUUUUUUGUAUUUUUACUUUUAUCUACUUUUGUUUGUAAAUACUGAGCAUGAGGUUAUUCUCCUCGAGACAAUUUAUCUAUAUUAAUUUUAGUUAUUUCAAGUUUUACUUGUU